GUUUUGUAGAAGCCCCUAAGGGAAAAAAACUCAGUUCAUCAAAAAGUUUCCAAACACAUGGAUUUCAUGUGCUGAACAAGCAUUUAUUUAUCCUGGAUUAUUACCUUUCUCCAGUAUCCCCGAGUUUAUUCAUUAUUGCGACCUUUACAACUGUACAAUCAUAAUUGUUCCUGUGUAUCACGUCUGUCGGCACUGUGAUAUUUCCUACUGUCCUUGUUCGACAAUGCCCAGACUUCAUUUCCCCCCCUAAUUUGAACUCCAGGAUGAUGAUCGCCCACAUUGGUUUUUGUUUUGAACAGGGAGAAGGCGAGAGGAGCGAGGAACAGACGUGGUUUCGUUACCUGCGGGUCGUUUCACCUCAACUUUCCGUCCAACGUUCGGCUGCCUCGUAGAACUCACCGUUCCUGCGUGCCCACGGGGGACGGAGCUGCAAGGCGCCGGCCCACCUGCUCGCUCAGAAGAUAAAAUAACAGUCCACUUUGUAAACCGUGACGGUGAGACAUUAACAGCCAAAGGAAAAGUUGGUGACUCUCUACUAGAUGUUGUGAUUGAAAAUAAUCUAGAUAUUGAUGGUUUUGUCUGUUGCCUCGUUACCUUACCGAUGAUGACUUGUGUGCCACUAAGCUGGGAGUAGUAACCGGAGUUGAAAGACACCAGUAGCCUGAAAACUCUGCAGCUUCGGAACUACGGGAGCUGUGAAGACCAGCAGCCUCGCGGCCACUGGGGAACAGAUGGGGUUUGAACUCCUCAGGAAGUCCAGUCUGCUGGACGCGGGCACCUGUCCCACAGCUUCCCGGGAGAGCUCCAUCCCAGGGCUUGUUCUUUGGCCUGCCUCCGAGACGGCUGUGUGCAAGAAGCUCUGUCUCUAGGACCUUAGUCUAAAGCAGUCACCUGCCAUUGUCUGCCGACACUGUCAUACCAGCUGGGCAAAGAAGAGCCCGGCCAAACGUUUAAAAGGGAGAUCUGGGGAACGAGAUGUUCUGUAGUGGGCUUUGAAAUGCCCUGGGGAUCUGGAAGGCUGUGCACAUGUGCAGGACUCGGCUCACGCCUGGGAAAGACGUGACAGGGUCCUAGCCCCUCACCUCGGCUGGUCUUCAGGUCCCCCAUGGUGAAGGCUGUGACAGACGUGUAGGCUGCUCGAACGUCGAAGGUGAGCACACCACACACACACACCAAGCUCAUCAGCAAACGGUAGAAGACUCACUGGUUCCAAGCAUUGAAGGACACCCUGCCCGGUCAUCUGGCUGACCACCAACCUAAGCAAGCAGAGACCUCAGUGGCUGCACACAACAGGGAAGACAGACUUCAGAGAAUUAGAACAGGAGAGUCACCAGGAAGCACCUAGCAGCAACAACAAACCCAGGGCACAGGCUGGAGAUCCUCAUUUCCACAGUUGCCACAUCGUAUUAUCUCCAGUGUCCACUUGAAAUAAAAAAAAUUCAAGCACCGAAAGAAAUGGAAAGUGUGGCCCAUACUCAGGAAAAAAAAAACAGUCAAUAGAAGCUCCCCCCCCCCGCCCCGAGGAGGCCCACGUGGUAGACUUUCCAGACAAAGAUGUUACACCAGCUGUUACAGAAGUUCAAAAUGCUGAGGGGAAACUACAUGGAGGUGUUCUCUGGCAUCUUCACGUCGGAAUGUGUGGAGGCCAUCGCCACUCUAAGUGGGGAUCCCAUAAAUGAAAUAAUGAACGUUGUUAAUGCCCUUGAGAAAGCUGAGCUUUUGAGCUCUGAGAAAGCUAAUGUGGAGGCUGCGACCAGUAAAUCGAUUUUUAUAAAUUUCUCCACAGAUUCGAUCAUAUGCACUAGGCCUAUGCACUGGGCUAUUACUGCAGAGAUAUUUGUAAUAGCAAAAGAUUUGAAACAACUGAAUGCCCAUCAGUAGAGGGCUGGUGUAUAAGUUAUACAACAGGAUAUUAUAUGUCUGUGUUAAAAGAAAAAGUCUCUGGAAGGAGCCUUAAAAACAAAUAUCAGUGGUUACCUGUUGGUAGGAGGGAGAUUUUCAUUCUACAGCUUUUUUUUUUUUAUAAGAUUUUUUUUAUUUACUUGAGAGAGAGAGAGCUCACAAGCCAGGGG